rnacentral:rRNA from 1 species
CCCUUAGAUGUUCUGGGCUGCACACGUGCUACACUGGCAGGUUCAGCGAGCUUCAUGCCCUGAUCUGAAAGGAAUGGGAAAUCUUUUCAAAACAUGCCGUGCUUGGGAUAGAUGUUUGCAAUUAUUCAUCUUCAACGAGGAUUGCCUUGUAAGCGCACGUCAUCAGCGUGCAUUGAAUACGACCCUGUAUUCUGUACACACCGCCCGUCGCUCCUACCGAUUGAAGUUUUCGGUGAGUUGACAGGAGGAUUUUUUUGAAACUGGUUCGCCAGUGGAUUUUAGAUCCAAAUGCCAACGAAUCGAUGGCUUUAGAGGAAGGAGAAGUCGUAACA